rnacentral:rRNA from 1 species
AUUGAACGCUGGCGGCAGGCCUAACACAUGCAAGUCGAGCGGAUGAAGGGAGCUUGCUCCUGGCUUCAGCGGCGGACGGGUGAGUAAUGCCUAGGAAUCUGCCUUGUAGUGGGGGAUAACGUCCGGAAACGGGCGCUAAUACCGCAUCCGUCCUGAGGGAGAAAGUGGGGGAUCUUCGGACCUCACGCUAUCAGAUGAGCCUAGGUCGGAUUAGCUAGUUGGUGGGGUAAAGGCCUACCAAGGCGACGAUCCGUAACUGGUCUGAGAGGAUGAUCAGUCACACUGGAACUGAGACACGGUCCAGACUCCUACGGGAGGCAGCAGUGGGGAAUAUUGGACAAUGGGCGAAAGCCUGAUCCAGCCAUGCCGCGUGUGUGAAGAAGGUCUUCGGAUUGUAAAGCACUUUAAGUUGGGAGGAAGGGCAGUAAGUUAAUACCUUGCUGUUUUGACGGUACCAACAGAAUAAGCACCGGCUAACUUCGUG